CGUAGGGGGCGAGCGUUGUCCGAAGUUACUGGGCGUAAAGAGCGCGUAGGCGGGCUUCUAAGUGAGAGGUGAAAGGUUCGGGCUCAACCCGGAGAGUGCCUUUCAGUACUGGGAGCCUUGAGUGCGGGAGAGGCUAGUGGAAUGGUCGGUGUAGCGGUGAAAUGCGUAGAUAUCGAUCGGAACACCCGUGGCGAAGGCGGCUUGCUGGCUCGCAACUGACGCUGAGGCGCGAAAGCGUGGGGAGCAAACAGGAUUAGAUACCCUGGUAGUCCACGCCGUAAACGAUGAGUGCUAGAUGUCCGGGGUAUCGACCCCCCUGGUGUCGCAGCUAACGCAAUAAGCACUCCGCCUGGGGAGUACGGCCGCAAGGUUG
rnacentral:rRNA from 1 species